CGCACCUUGCGCCUCUUGGUAUUCCGAGAGGCAUGCCUGUUUGAGUGUCAUGAAACAUCAAUCCCCGAGGGUUUUUCGCCCUUGGUGGACUUGGAACUGGGCGUCUGCCUCCCAAGGCUCGCCUCAAAUGACUUAGUGGGAACUUCUUGACCUACGCCUGACGUGAUAAGUUUCGUCUCGGCUGGUCUUGAGGCCUGCUCAUAACAACCCAUACUUUUACUAUUGACCUCAAAUCAGGUAGGGCUACCCGCUGAACUUAA
rnacentral:misc_RNA from 1 species